rnacentral:rRNA from 1 species
AGAGUUUGAUCAUGGCUCAGGAUGAACGCUAGCUACAGGCUUAACACAUGCAAGUCGAGGGGAAACGAUAUUGGAAGCUUGCUUCCGAUAGGCGUCGACCGGCGCACGGGUGAGUAACGCGUAUCCAACCUGCCCACCACUUGGGGAUAACCUUGCGAAAGUAAGACUAGUACCCAAUGACGUCUCUAGAAGACAUCUGAAGGAGAUUAAAGAUUUAUCGGUGAUGGAUGGGGAUGCGUCUGAUUAGCUUGUUGGCGGGGUAACGGCCCACCAAGGCAACGAUCAGUAGGGGUUCUGAGAGGAAGGUCCCCCACAUUGGAACUGAGACACGGUCCAAACUCCUACGGGAUGCAGCAGUGAGGAAUAUUGGUCAAUGGGCGAGAGCCUGAACCAGCCAAGUAGCGUGCAGGAAGACGGCCCUAUGGGUUGUAAACUGCUUUUAUAAGGGAAUAAAGUUAGUCUCGUGAGACUUUUUGCAUGUACCUUAUGAAUAAGGACCGGCUAAUUCCGUGCCAGCAGCCGCGGUAAUACGGAAGGUCCGGGCGUUAUCCGGAUUUAUUGGGUUUAAAGGGAGCGUAGGCCGGAGAUUAAGCGUGUUGCGAAAUGUAGACGCUCAACGUCUGCACUGCAGCGCGAACUGGUUUCCUUGAGUACGCACAAAGUGGGCGGAAUUCGUGGUGUAGCGGUGAAAUGCUUAGAUAUCACGAAGAACUCCGAUUGCGAAGGCAGCUCACUGGAGCGCAACUGACGCUGAAGCUCGAAAAUGCGGGUAUCGAACAGGAUUAGAUACCCUGGUAGUCCGCACGGUAAACGAUGGAUGCCCGCUGUUGGUCUGAACAGGUCAGCGGCCAAGCGAAAGCAUUAAGCAUCCCACCUGGGGAGUACGCCGGCAACGGUGAAACUCAAAGGAAUUGACGGGGGCCCGCACAAGCGGAGGAACAUGUGGUUUAAUUCGAAGCAACGCGAAGAACCUUACCAAGUCUUGACAUCCGCCUGACCGAUCCUUAACCGGAUCUUUCCUUCGGGACAGGCGAGACAGGUGGUGCAUGGUUGUCGUCAGCUCGUGUCGUGAGAUGUUGGGUUAAGUCCCGCAACGAGCGCAACCCCUAUCCUCAGUAGCCAGCAUUUAAGGUGGGCACUCUGGGGAGACUGCCAGGGAUAACCUGGAGGAAGGCGGGGAUGACGUCAAAUCAUCAUGCCCCUUAUGAUUUGGGCUACACACGUGCUACAAUGGCGUAAACAAAGGGAAGCGAGAUCGUGAGAUGGAGCAAAUCCCAAAAAUAACGUCCCAGUUCGGACUGUAGUCUGCAACCCGACUACACGAAGCUGGAAUCGCUAGUAAUCGCGGAUCAGAAUGCCGCGGUGAAUACGUUCCCGGGUCUUGUACACACCGCCCGUCACACCAUGGGAGUCAGUAACGCCCAAAGUCAGUGACCUAACUGCAAAGAAGGAGCUGCCGAAGGCGGGACCGAUGACUGGGGUGAAGUCGUAACAAGGUA